CCUACGGGAGGCAGCAGUGAGGAAUAUUGGUCAAUGGCCGGAAGCCUGAACUAGCCAAGCCGCGUGAAGGACGAAGGUGCCAAGCAUUGUAAACUUCUUUUGUCAAGGGACAAAAUCAGGCUCGAGAGCCUGACCGAGGGUACUUGAAGAAAAAGCAUCGGCUAACUCCGUGCCAGCAGCCGCGGUAAUACGGAGGAUGCGAGCGUUAUCCGGAUUUAUUGGGUUUAAAGGGUGCGUAGGGGGACUGUUAAGUCAGCGGUAAAAGCCCGGGGCUAAACCCCGGCGAGCCGUUGAAACUGGGUGUCUUGAGAUGUCGAGAGGUAUGCGGAAUGCGCAGUGUAGCGGUGAAAUGCUUAGAUAUUGCGCAGAACUCCGAUUGCGAAGGCAGCAUACCGGCGGCGAUCUGACGCUGAGGCACGAAAGCGUGGGUAUCGAACAGGAUUAGAUACCCGAGUAGUC
rnacentral:rRNA from 1 species